rnacentral:rRNA from 1 species
CAGUAGCCGCGGUAAUACGUAGGGCGCAAGCGUUAUCCGGAAUUAUUGGGCGUAAAGAGCUCGUAGGCGGUUUGUCGCGUCUGCCGUGAAAGUCCGGGGCUCAACCCCGGAUCUGCGGUGGGUACGGGCAGACUAGAGUGAUGUAGGGGAGACUGGAAUUCCUGGUGUAGCGGUGAAAUGCGCAGAUAUCAGGAGGAACGCCGAUGGCGAAGGCAGGUCUCUGGGCAUUAACUGACGCUGAGGAGCGAAAGCAUGGGGAGCGAACAGGAUUAGAUACCCCGGUAGUCCCUGUCUCUUAUAC